UAGGGAUUUCCGGAGAUCUCGGAGAGGACCGGGGCGGGGGAACUUUCAAAGGCGGGUCCGGCGAUCCGGUGGAGAAGCGCCGGAGCUCCGCCCGGGCAGCAGACAAAACUCUCUGUCUGCCGGUAGCAGAGGGGCCACGCUGAGCAUUCAGAGCUCCCGGCAGAGGCCCGGAGAGAAGCCCAGAGGGCGGGGCGACCCCCAGCUGCUGUUGCCCGCCCCGUGGGACUAGGGAUUGCCGGAGAUCUCGGAGAGGACCGGGGCGGGGGAACUUUCAAAGGCGGGUCCGGCGAUCCGGUGGAGAAGCGCCGGAGCUCCGCCCGGGCAGCAGACAAAACUCUCUGUCUGCCGGUAGCAGAGGGGCCACGCUGAGCAUUCAGAGCUCCCGGCAGAGGCCCGGAGAGAAGCCCAGAGGGCGGGGCGACCCCCAGCUGCCGUUGCCCGCCCCGUGGGACUAGGGAUUGCCGGAGAUCUCGGAGAGGACCGGGGCGGGGGAACUUUCAAAGGCGGGUCCGGCGAUCCGGUGGAGAAGCGCCGGAGCUCCGCCCGGGCAGCAGACAAAACUCUCUGUCUGCCGGUAGCAGAGGGGCCACGCUGAGCAUUCAGAGCUCCCGGCAGAGGCCCGGAGAGAAGCCCAGAGGGCGGGGCGACCCCCAGCUGCCGUUGCCCACCAGGUGAGGCUAGGGAUUGCCGGAGAUCUCGGAGAGGACUGGGGCUGGAGAGAGUUCCAGAGACCCAGCUUAGUAGCCUAGGGGGAAACCCUACAGGCUCACAGAAGCCUUAGGGAAAGCCUCUGCACAGCACCAGUAGAAGGCACCCAGCCGCCAGCCACAAGGCUGGAAGACCCCAGGGCAAAAGCAGCAUAGCUAGGUGUACUAACCACAGACUGUAGAAGAUGCCAAUAGCUCUCCUGCGACCCAUAGAGGACAAGUGAGAUUUGGUGGGUGCCGACAGCAACCGAGCGACAAAUAAAAGUGAUCCCACCCCUGGCCGCUGGAAAAGCCCAUAACACCGUUGCAGAC
rnacentral:lncRNA from 1 species